GACGAACGCUGGCGGCGUGCUUAACACAUGCAAGUCGAACGGAAAGGCCUCUUUCGGGGGGUACUCGAGUGGCGAACGGGUGAGUAACACGUGAGUAACCUGCCCUUGACUUUGGGAUAACUUCAGGAAACUGGGGCUAAUACCGGAUAGGAGCUCCUGCUGCAUGGUGGGGGUUGGAAAGUUUCGGUGGUUGGGGAUGGACUCGGGGCUUAUCAGCUUGUUGGUGGGGUAGUGGCUUACCAAGGCUUUGACGGGUAGCCGGCCUGAGAGGGUGACCGGCCACAUUGGGACUGAGAUACGGCCCAGACUCCUACGGGAGGCAGCAGUGGGGAAUAUUGCACAAUGGGUGGAAGCCUGAUGCAGCAACGCCGUGUGCGGGAUGACGGCCUUCGGGUUGUAAACCGCUUUCGCUCAUGACGAAGCUUUGCGUGACGGUAGUGGGUAAAGAAGCACCGGCUAACUACGUG
rnacentral:rRNA from 1 species